rnacentral:rRNA from 1 species
UACGGGGGGGGGCAAGCGUUGUUCGGAAUUACUGGGCGUAAAGGGCUCGUAGGCGGCCAACUAAGUCCGACGUGAAAUCCCCAGGCUUAACCUGGGAACUGCGUCGGAUACUGGAUGGCUUGAAUCCGGGAGAGGGAUGCAGAAUUCCAGGUGUAGCGGUGAAAUGCGUAGAUAUCUGAAGGAAUACCGGUGGCGAAGGCGGCAUCCUGGACCGGCAUUGACGCUGAAGCGCGAAAGCUAGGGGAGCAAACGGG